ensembl:lncRNA
GUUUUGACACUCAGGUGGUGUCCUUGGUCCUGAGAGUGUUUAUGAUUUUAAUCUCCAAAGAAAGGUCCAGACAAUCAAUAUUGCUAAUUAAUGCAUGAGGCAGAGAGACAGGCUGUGAAAGUGUAACCCGCUGAAUAGUAAAAGAUGAGCCGGCUUACUGCUGCCACUCUUUUAUCUCACUCACACACACACACAGAUCAUUGUGCUCUCUCUGGGGCACGGAUGGUAUUGAUAUUGCUUCACAUAAAAAGCAAUUCUGAAAAGUUUGAUCUAGUGUUUAGGAUUAGCAGGGCUCAUGACAUCAGUAAAAUGAUUCUAACUGGAGGAAAAUACUCACACCCGAACACACAUACUGUGUCUUGAGUUAGCAUGGAACAUUAUCCGCAACAUGAUCAAUAAGGAGCAAUAGCCAAUCAGACACUAAAGAUGCUAUAGAAAAGAGUGACAGAGAGAGCAAGAGAGAGAGAGAGAGAGAGAGAGAGAGAGAGAGAGAGAGAGAUAUUGUUGUAGGGAAGAGAAAGUGCUCAUAGUUUAAGAAAAUCUGCCACAUGAGAUAAACAGGUUAAAGGGAUAGUUCACCCAAAAAUGAAAAUUCUGUCAUCAUUUACUCACCCUCAUGUCGUUCCAAACCUGUAUGAGUUGCUUUCUUAUGUUGAACAUAAAAGAAGAUAUUUUGAAGAUUGCUGGUAAUCAAACAGUUGGUGGUUCCCAUUGACUUCCAUAGUAGGAAAAGAAAUACUAUGGAAGUCAAUGGGAACCACCAACUGUUUGAUUACCAGCAAUCUUCAAAAUAUCUUCUUUUAUGUUCAACUCAUACAGGUUUGGAACGACAUGAGGGUGAGUAAAUGAUGACAGAAUUUUCAUUUUUGGGUGAGCUAUCCCUUUAUGUGAUCCAUGCCUUUUCAAAUGACAACAAAAUAUCUUAUAAAUACCUAAAUAUAAUCAUUUUCAAUUGAUCUGUUGGCCUUCCAUGGCAAACCCAACACAAAAUUCCCAAUUUCACCUAUUUUUUUUUUCACCUAUAGUUUUGUAUUAAUGUUCAAACUUCUUAAGUCAUUCUGAGAAAUUCCAUAUGCUGUCAGCUUUGUCUUUAUUAGUCCCUGAAUAAUUUCUGACCCUGAUCAAUUUCAUCAAUAAUAAUUAUAAAAAUAAAUAACAUUGUGCAAUGUAAAAG